ensembl:lncRNA
AUGGAUGAUAGAGCCUCAACCAGACCUAAACGUCGGACCCACCCCCCACAUCAUUAUGAUGAGUACGAAAUGGGUUUUGUGCUACCACAAAGACAGUUAUCUGAACCAAGAAUCAGUAGGCAUGGGCAAGAAGAGGAGUUGUGUUCACAAGAAAAAGGAGCUGCCAAGAGGACACCCCCCACUUUUAGUCGUCGUCAGUCACUAAGGGAUGAUGACUGUACAGAGGAACAGCACAUUGCAGUGAGUCAAUACAGCCAAAGACCAGUUUCUGAAUUCCAGUUAGCCCAUCAGUACACAGAGAGAGCACAGGCUGAAAAAAGCAGAUUAUCCACUCCAAGCAGUUGGUCUUCAGUACAGUACAAUUCACCUCCAGCCUCCCAGAAAGAUCUUCUGCAAAGUAGAGAUGAGCACCUGAACGCCACAUUAGCUGAAAUCAGAGAGACCAGAUCUGAGUUAAGAUUACUAGCAGAAACGGUGCGCAGCCUAAAGCAGAUUCCUCAACCAGCUACAGGGAGCUCUCAGUCGAAUACAUUGGAUCCACGUAAGUCUGAUCAAUUACCCACACUCCCUUUAGACCAUGGGUUUAUGCCUCCGCCCUGUGAAGAGCUGAUCACUAAUGUACAGGUUGAUGAGUAUGAUGAGGCAGACUGGCCUGAUCCCCCUCCAUGGCCAGAGACAGGAGACCCACAACCUCAGCCUGCCAGUAGUGAGCCCAUUGUCGACUUUGUGGACAAGAUGAUGAGUGAGCUUCAAGUUCUAAAACAAGCAGCUGUUAGUAAGAGUAAGCCUCUUGUUGCACAUACACAAAGCCCUCCUAUCGUUAAACAUGGUACACUGACAGCAAAGACAAGCAGGAUGCUUCAAGGCCAUUUGAGUCAACCACAAGGCUUCCAUCCUCAGCCACCUAUUCGAGACAUUCCAGCAUAUAACUCAGAACAGUACAAGAGUUACCUUCAAGGUGAGCCUGCAGCGAUCUCACAGCCAUACCUGCCAAUGAGGGCCCACACGAGAACUGUAAUCGAUCCUCGACACCAGAUUCCUCUACAUUCUGAGCCGAUAUACCGAGGUCCGAUGCCGUCAAUUCCCUACUUCUGUCGCAGAGACCCCAGUGAGUUUGCUAGGAUGAAAAUAGCUUUAGAGAAUCGACUACCCCCAGAUGGGACGGAGCUCUUUAAAUACCAAAUCCUGGUGGAUCACUUGAAGUUGGAAGAGGCAAGGUUGAUAGCAGAUUCAUAUCUGAACUCCCCCAGACCUUACACUGAUACCAUGGCGGCUCUUAAUCUAAAGUUUGGCCAGCCUCAUCAGAUGGCUCUGAAUAAAAUAGCCAGUGUUAUGGACUCGCCUGAUAUUCGACGCGGUGAUCAAGCUGCCUUCGAGAAGUUCGCCCUACAGGUCCAAGCACUUGUGGGCAUGCUUAAAUCCCUUGGUCCCCCAGGAGAGAUAGAGCUACAGUGCGGAUCUCACGUAGCACGCUUGCUGAGCAAGUUACCGACAGAGAUGAGAGCUGAGUUCAGGCGCAGCAAGUUCCAUUAUCCAGGAACAACCUAUACUCUCACUGAUCUCUCUGAGUGGCUGCAAUAUGAGUCGUGGUGCCAGGAAUAUGACGGUUCAUCAACAGUGAAGAUCACUAAGGAGAGACAAUGGCCUAGACAGGAGCCUCGGCAGAAGAGGUGGACCACUACUGUGCUACAUGGAUCUAGAGAGGCGAUGGAGAGAGACGUUUCACCCACACAAGUGAAUCCAUCCACUAAGAACAGAACUGCACCUUACUGUCCAUUCUGUAACAAUGCAGAGCACUUCUUAAACCAAUGCACAGAGGUUGUAAAAACUGACCACAGACCAGUUAUCAGAAUGGAUCCGUACCAAUAG